rnacentral:rRNA from 1 species
UACGGAGGAUCCAAGCAUUAUCCGGAAUCAUUGGGUUUAAAGGGUCCGUAGGCGGUUUUGUAAGUCAGUGGUGAAAGCCCAUCGCUCAACGGUGGAACGGCCAUUGAUACUGCAAGACUUGAAUUAUUAGGAAGUAACUAGAAUAUGCAGUGUAGCGGUGAAAUGCUUAGAGAUUACAUGGAAUACCAAUUGCGAAGGCAGGUUACUACUAAUAUAUUGACGCUGAUGGACGAAAGCGUGGGGAGCGAACAGG